rnacentral:rRNA from 1 species
CUACGGGUUGCUGCAGUGGGGAAUAUUGCACAAUGGGCGCAAGCCUGAUGCAGCGAUGCCGCGUGAGGGAAGAAGGUUUUCGGAUUGUAAACCUCUGUCAUCGGGGACGAUAAUGACGGUACCCGAGAAGGAAGCUCCGGCUAACUACGUGCCAGCAGCCGCGGUAAUACGUAGGGAGCAAGCGUUAUCCGGAAUUACUGGGUGUAAAGGGGUGUAGGCGGGACUGCAAGUCAGAUGUGAAAACUAUCGGCUCAACUGGUAGAUUGCAUUUGAAACUGUGGUUCUUGAGUGAAGUAGAGGUAAGCGGAAUUCCUAGUGUAGCGGUGAAAUGCGUAGAUAUUAGGAGGAACAUCAGUGGCGAAGGCGGCUUACUGGGCUUUAACUGACGCUGAGGCUCGAAAGCGUGGGGAGCAAACGGGAUUAGAUACCCCCGUAGUC